CAAGCAAUCAGCUUAGAUUGUCCUCUGACAGCUAACAACUAAUCAAGAUUUGUUCAGAUGGAGGUGGAUUUGGACAAAUGAGGCUGACACCUCCAAAGCAGCCAUCAUGGUCUAUAGUAGCAGUGGUGCACAUUAGCAGGCUCAAGACCACAUAUUCAUGCAUUAGACCUAGCAGUUUUAAAUGAGCUGUUAUUAUCUAUCAAAUAAUAUGUACUGUUAAGUAUGCAAAGAUAUGUCCAGAGGAGUUGUUGUGAUCUACAGCAACAACUUUAUUUCUCUUUUACUUCAACAAACUUUUUUUCUUUAAUCAAUUGCUUUUCUACUUGGUUACAUUGUUAAUAAAGAAGCACACAGCCAAUAUUGAACGGCGCACUCAGAAUUUGUGAAGCCUGCACAGAACACUAAGAGGAGUGUUUACAGUGCUGCAAUCUCUAAGUGGGCUGAUGUUCAAAUCCUAGUACCAGCUUGAAUUUGCAACUGAACUCCUUACUAAAAUCACACGCAGCAGUGAUUUCCAGGAAUGCAGUGAUGUCCAGGAAGGCACUGAUGUCCAGGAAGGACCAUAUUCCAUGGUCUUUGGAGAGAUCUUGUCGUUACUUGCCUGCUGAAUUUAGGAUCUUUGUUACCUUAAUCCUAAAUAAAACUGCUCUUAAAACGUCAUUCAAGGCCCUUUUUCAGUAUUUGUUUACCCUGAGCUGUUCUGAGGUUCUUACAAGACAUGUACACCU
ensembl:lncRNA